rnacentral:rRNA from 1 species
GACGAACGCUGGCGGCGUGGAUUAGGCAUGCAAGUCGAACGGUAUCAUCCUUUCGGGGGUGAGAGAGUGGCGAACUGGUGAGUAACACGUAGGUUAUCUACCCUCAAGACGGGGACAACCCAGGGAAACUUGGGCUAAUACCGGAUGUGAGCAACUUUUAGUUGUUUGAAAGGUGGCGUAAGCUGUCGCUUGGGGAUGAGCCUGCGUCCUAUUAGUUAGUUGGUGAGGUAACGGCUCACCUAGGCAAUGAUAGGUAGGCGGCCUUAACGGGUGGUCGCCCACACUGGGAUUGAGAUACGGCCCAGACUCCUACGGGAGGCAGCAGUCGAGAAUAGUCUACAAUGGUCGGAAGACUGAUAGUGCGACGCCGCGUGAACGAUGAAUCCCUUCGGGGUGUAAAGUUCUUUUAUAUGUGAGCAGUGCUUCUUAUAUUAACAGUAUGGGGAGAGAGAUAUUAGCAUAUGAAUAAGCAACGGCUAAACUCCGUGCCAGCAGCCGUACGGU